UACAGAGGGUGCAAGCGUUGUUCGGAAUCAUUGGGCGUAAAGAGCUCGUAGGCGGUCUGUCGCGUCUGCUGUGAAAACUCAGGGCUUAACCCUGAGCUUGCAGUGGGUACGGGCAGACUAGAGUGCGGUAGGGGAGACUGGAAUUCCUGGUGUAGCGGUGAAAUGCGCAGAUAUCAGGAGGAACACCGGUGGCGAAGGCGGGUCUCUGGGCCGUAACUGACGCUGAGGAGCGAAAGCAUGGGGAGCGAACAGG
rnacentral:rRNA from 1 species